CACGUAGGAGGCAAACGUUAUCCGGAUUUACUGGGCGUAAAGCGCGUGUAGGUGGUUUGGUAAGUAGGGCGUGAAAGCUCCUGGCUCAACUGGGAGAGGACGUCCUAAACUGCCAAGCUUGAGGAUGGUAGAGGGAGGUGGAAUUCCGGGUGUAGCGGUGGAAUGCGCAGAUAUCCGGAGGAACACCAGUGGCGAAGGCGGCCUCCUGGACCACUCCUGACACUCAGACGCGAAAGCUAGGGUAGCAAACGGG
rnacentral:rRNA from 1 species